AUUGAACGCUGGCGGAAUGCUUUACACAUGCAAGUCGAGCGGCAGCGCGGGGCAACCUGGCGGCGAGCGGCGAACGGGUGAGUAACAUAUCGGAACAUACCCAGUCGUGGGGGAUAACACAGCGAAAGUUGUGCUAAUACCGCAUACGUCCUGAGGGAGAAAGCGGGGGAUCGCAAGACCUCGCGCGAUUGGAGUGGCCGAUAUCGGAUUAGCUAGUUGGUGAGGUAAAGGCUCACCAAGGCGACGAUCCGUAGCUGGUCUGAGAGGACGACCAGCCACACUGGAACUGAGACACGGUCCAGACUCCUACGGGAGGCAGCAGUGGGGAAUAUUGGACAAUGGGCGAAAGCCUGAUCCAGCCAUGCCGCGUGAGUGAUGAAGGCCUUAGGGUUGUAAAGCUCUUUCGCCAGGGAAGAUAAAUGACGGUACCUGGAAAAGAAGCCUCGGCUAACUCCGUGCCAGCAGCCGCGGUAAU
rnacentral:rRNA from 1 species